rnacentral:misc_RNA from 1 species
AAGACUACGGCCAACGGCAGC